CAGAAGAAACACUUCCUAUAAAUCUCGCCCAAACAGGAAAGGAGAAGCAUCAGGGUGUCCGACUACGUGGGUUUCAUAGCUGUGGAAAAGCCAAAGGGGAGACUCCUGAAGAAAGGCGGUGAAGACUGUGAAGAGCGGGUCAGGAAGAUGAGCACAGCACUGCUACUCCUGUGGGCACAGGGACAGCAUGUCUCCAGCCAGCGCCACCUUGUUUAAUACAUGGGAACUCACUGAAAUUCAUUCUGUAUUUUGCCCACAAAGUUUUAAAGCUUUCAUCCACAGUCAGGAAUUAAACUUAUACCAAUGAGAGCCUCACACAUUCAAGGAUGUACUAAGCACUACAGGCCUCACAGAAACAGAGAUCCCAUCUUGGAGUUUUCAGUCCCACAUGGGAGAUAAAGGGUUUUGAACAUGAAAUGACAAAAACAACAGCAAGAAGAAAAUUCUCGUCCUUUUUCA
rnacentral:lncRNA from 1 species